rnacentral:rRNA from 1 species
UACGGAGGGGGCUAGCGUUGUUCGGAAUUACUGGGCGUAAAGCGUACGUGGGCGGCUUUGUAAGUUAGAGGUGAAAGCCCGGGGCUCAACUCCGGAAUUGCCUUUAAGACUGCAUCGCUUGAAUCAUGGAGAGGUGAGUGGAAUUCCGAGUGUAGAGGUGAAAUUCGUAGAUAUUCGGAAGAACACCAGUGGCGAAGGCGACUCACUGGACAUGUAUUGACGCUGAGGUACGAAAGCGUGGGGAGCAAACAGG